AGACAGACGUCCGUAUCCGUGCGCUGCUGUUAAAACAGGCAGGGGGAGAACGUGAAGGGCACAGCGGAGGUCGCCGGAUAGAGCGGAGCGCCGUGGAGCCCACUAGGGUAAACACGGAGGUUAGCUGUGCGACGGGGCUCCUCACCCAAACAUCUGAUUUCAUUCUUACGACCGGGAGUUGGACAGAAAUGAGGCCACGCAAAUUUCAUCAUGUGAUUAUAUUCCAGUGAAAAUGGAUAACAAUAGAAGAAAAAACACCAACUCAGAUAUAUUUGAUGAAAAAGAGCAUCAUGCAUCAAAAAGAACAAAACUACAACUGAUGUUUCAUGAUUUCACCUUGUGUGCUUUGCUUUACACCUGCCAAGGAGGACAUGAAGAGAGGGAUCAUCCCAAAGACCUCGCUGUUACAAAGGAAGAGCAUAAAGAUCAGCACCCAGGAUGGGUGCGUCAGUGGUACAGGGGCGCGAGUUUGGGGUUUAUGGAACUCUGAUUUCUCUAAACAGAUGUCCUCAUCAUGGAAGUUAUUGUAGUCUCCACUUAACCAGAUGGGAUACCCAACUCCCUGUCGUGUUCAGAACUGACGGGGCUCAUUAAGUUGGCUUUAAAUUGGGUAUUAAGGGAGGAUCUGUUGCUUAGCCCAAAUAAUCUCAACAUGCACAAUGGAGAGAAGAGGGAGUUCAACAAGCAGAGAUAAAAUAUAAGAUAACUGAUAAGUCAUAUUAACAUACUGGACUUAAUUGUCUCUAAGUAACUACAAAGUAAAUGGGAAAUUAAAAAGAUUAACAGGAAACGUUCCUAAAUGAUGGAGACUAUGACGUCAUGCACACAAUAAAAAUAGAAAGAUACCAUUUCCUUGUUUGGAAUGCCAAAACUAAUACUGAAAAUAUGCUCCAUAACAAAUAUUAAAAGGAAAUUAAACUUGAGGAUGAAGCACUGUAAACCAGACCCCUAAAAGUGGAAAAAUGCCUUGCCAUUUAAUAGUGGUAAAUAGCAGAGACAACCUUUUGAACAGAGAUACAAAAAAUGAAAAUAAAAAGCUGCAGUUGGAAUGUUCUUAUAUAUAAAUGGUAGGCAUUCCUUUAAUUUAUAAAACCCCCAGACCAAGGGAUAAUUACAGACUCUCAAAUAGAUGAUUGCUAUAUAUUAAAUACUGAAUAAGCAAUAUUUAUAUGUACUGAUUCAUAUGAUAAAUAAGUGUAUCCACUGAUAAGUAUGAGCAAUGAAAUACUGACUGGACUGGUGUUGGUAAUGACGAAGAUGGUUUUCUUCUUUGGAAAUAAUAAACACCAUACAGAUACUGUACUUAUUUUAUUAAAUAAGGUCUAUUUUAAUUUAAGGAACACAUUUUACUAUGUAUGUUUCAUAGGAGCACAUGUCCAGAUAGUUAAUAUUUAAUGAAGAAAACAAUGACUGAUUGGAUGCUACCUACAUGACACAUGAUUAUAAGGGCUAAACUAAUUUAUCAGCCUAUCUUUAACUUCUAGAGAGUAAAAAGGAGCAGAUUCAGCAAUACAUAUAAUUGAUAUAAAGUAUCAACUGUUAACAAUGCACACUUU